AUUGAACGCUGGCGGAAUGCUUUACACAUGCAAGUCGAGCGGCAGCACGGGGGCAACCCUGGUGGCGAGCGGCGAACGGGUGAGUAAUACAUCGGAACAUGCCCAGUCGUGGGGGAUAGCACUUCGAAAGAAGUGCUAAUACCGCAUACGUCCUGAGGGAGAAAGCGGGGGAUCUUCGGACCUUGCGCGAUUGGAGUGGCCGAUGUCAGAUUAGCUAGUUGGUGGGGUAAAGGCCUACCAAGGCAACGAUCCGUAGCUGGUCUGAGAGGAUGAUCAGCCACACUGGGACUGAGACACGGCCCAGACUCCUACGGGAGGCAGCAAUGGGGAAUUUUGGACAAUGGGGGCAACCCUGAUCCAGCCAUUCCGCGUGAGUGAAGAAGGCCUUCGGGUUGUAAAGCUCUUUCGGCAGGAACGAAACGGCGAGCUCUAACAUAGCUUGCUAAUGACGGUACCUGAAGAAGAAGCACCGGCUAACUACGUGCCAGCCGCCGCGGUAAGAC
rnacentral:rRNA from 1 species